rnacentral:rRNA from 1 species
UACGGAGGGUGCAAGCGUUAUCCGGAUUCACUGGGUUUAAAGGGUGCGUAGGCGGGCUUGUAAGUCAGUGGUGAAAGCCCGGAGCUUAACUCCGGAACUGCCAUUGAUACUGCAGGUCUUGAGUACACUUGAGGUGGGCGGAAUACAUCAUGUAGUGGUGAAAUACUUAGAUAUGAUGUAGAACACCGAUUGCGAAGGCAGCUCACUAAAAUUUGUAACUGACGCUGAGGCACGAAAAGCGUGGGGGAUCAAACAGG